rnacentral:rRNA from 1 species
UGGGGAAUAUUGGACAAUGGGCGAAAGCCUGAUCCAGCCAUGCCGCGUGUGUGAAGAAGGUCUUCGGAUUGUAAAGCACUUUAAGUUGGGAGGAAGGGCAGUAAGCGAAUACCUUGCUGUUUUGACGUUACCGACAGAAUAAGCACCGGCUAACUCUGUGCCAGCAGCCGCGGUAAUACAGAGGGUGCAAGCGUUAAUCGGAAUUACUGGGCGUAAAGCGCGCGUAGGUGUUUCGUUAAGUUGAAUGUGAAAGCCCCGGGCUCAACCUGGGAACUGCAUCCAAAACUGGCGAGCUAGAGUAGGGCAGAGGGUGGUGGAAUUUCCUGUGUAGCGGUGAAAUGCGUAGAUAUAGGAAGGAACACCAGUGGCGAAGGCGACCACCUGGGCUCAUACUGACACUGAGGUGCGAAAGCGUGGGGAGCAAACAGG